UUACCUCGCGGGCGGGGAAUCGCAGGGGCGGGCCGGCAGGGACGCCGGCCCGAGGUUCGCCGCGACACGACGUCGCGUCGAACCGACCCGUCAGCGAUUGCCCGUUCGCGAGGCUG
rfam:Halothiobacillus sp. XI15 contig_5, whole genome shotgun sequence.